AUAGCGUAUAUUAAAGUUGUUGCAGUUAAAAAGCUCGUAGUUGAACUUCAGCCCUGGCCGGGCGGUCUGCCUCACGGUAUGUACUGUCUGGCUGGGGCUUACCUUCUGGUGAGCUUGCAUGCCGUUCAUUCGGUGUGUGAGGGAACCAGGACUUUUACCUUGAGAAAAUUAGAGUGUUCAAAGCAGGCAAAUGCCCGAAUACAUUAGCAUGGCAUAAUGGAAUAGGACGUGCGGUUCUAUUUUGUUGGUUUCUAGAGUCGCCGUAAUGAUUAAUAGGGAUAGUUGGGGGCAUUAGUAUUCAGUUGCUAGAGGUGAAAUUCUUGGAUUUACUGAAGACUAACUACUG
rnacentral:rRNA from 1 species